GCAGUGGUUGUCGUCAGCUCGUGUCGUGAGAUGUUGGGUUAAGUCCCGCAACGAGCGCAACCCCUAUUGCUAGUUACCAUCAUUAAGUUGGGGACCCUAGCGAGACUGCCAGUGAUAAACUGGAGGAAGGUGGGGAUGACGUCAAAUCAUCAUGCCCCUUAUGACCUGGGCUACAAACGUGAUACAAUGGCUGGAACAAAGGGAUGCGAAGCAGUGAUGUGGAGCGAAACCCAUAAAAACAGUCUCAGUUCGGAUUGAAGUCUGCAACUCGACUUCAUGAAGUCGGAAUCGCUAGUAAUCGCGGAUCAGAACGCCGCGGUGAAUACGUUCUCGGGGUUU
rnacentral:rRNA from 1 species